rnacentral:misc_RNA from 1 species
GAUGAAGAACGUAGCGAAAUGCGAUACUUGGUGUGAAUUGCAGAAUCCCGUGAACCAUCGAGUCUUUGAACGCAAGUUGCGCCCGAAGCCAUUAGGCCGAGGGCACGCCUGCCUGGGCGUCACACGUCGUUGCCCCCCCCAUCUACUCCUUCGGGAUUGCGGGGGGCGGAUGAUGGCCUCCCGUGCGCCUCGCCGCGCGGUUGGCAUAAAUGCCAAGUCCUCGGCGACGCACGCCACGACAAUCGGUGGUUGCGAAACCUCGGUUGCCCGUCGUGUGCGGUCGUCGCGCAUCGAGGGCUCGAAAAAAUUGCCGAGUUCCGGCUCGGCUUUCAACGCGACCCCAGGUCAGGCGGGGUUACCCGCUGAAUUUAAGCAUAUCAAUAAGCGGGAGGA